AACGAACGCUGGCGGCAUGCCUAACACAUGCAAGUCGAACGAGACCUUCGGGUCUAGUGGCGCACGGGUGCGUAACACGUGGGAAUCUGCCCUUUGCUUCGGAAUAACAGUUAGAAAUGACUGCUAAUACCGGAUGAUGUCGAAAGACCAAAGAUUUAUCGGCAAAGGAUGAGCCCGCGUAGGAUUAGGUAGUUGGUGGGGUAAAGGCCUACCAAGCCGACGAUCCUUAGCUGGUCUGAGAGGAUGAUCAGCCACACUGGGACUGAGACACGGCCCAGACUCCUACGGGAGGCAGCAGUGGGGAAUAUUGGACCAUGGGCGAAAGCCUGAUCCAGCAAUGCCGCGUGAGUGAUGAAGGCCUUAGGGUUGUAAAGCUCUUUUACCAGGGAUGAUAAUGACAGUACCUGGAGAAUAAGCUCCGGCUAACUCCGUG
rnacentral:rRNA from 1 species